rnacentral:rRNA from 1 species
UGGGCAACCUGCCCCUCUCUCUGGGAUAACCCCGGGAAACCGGAGCUAAUACCGGAUACUCCGGCUGGAUCGCAUGGUCCGGCCGGGAAAGGUCCGCCGGAGAGGGAUGGGCCCGCGGCCUAUCAGCUUGUUGGUGGGGUAAUGGCUCAUCAAGGCGACGACGGGUAGCCGGCCUGAGAGGGUGACCGGCCACACUGGGACUGAGACACGGCCCAGACUCCUACGGGAGGCA